AUGGAUCUGCGCCUCCACGCUACGCCCAGAGCAAACAGCGACCUGACUGAGUGGACCGAACGCACUCUGGAAGCGCAAGGGACUCUACUGCGAAGAUUCGCUUGAAAACCGACGCGGAGGGGGAGAGGGGGGUCUCUGACCUGCAGAGUACCAGAAAAGAGUGAAAGGGAUUCCAGCGGGAACAGCUGCAGAAAUACUGAGGCGACGAAAAACACUUUUUAGACACACGAUGUGACACCCAGGCCAGUGAAAACGGACUGAAGGAGUCAGAGGGCUUUAUCCUAACAUUCGACAACUCCAGAAAGUCACUUCCUCAUUCUCUCCUCUUCUUUUUCUUCCUCUUCUUUUCUCUCCUGCUCUUUCACCCUCUCAGAAAUACCCUUCCCUCUCGUUCUCUUGUUCCGGCCGUGCCGAGCGAGCGAUGGAGCGGAGUCAGAGACGCGGAAAGGUCAGCAGAACAAAUUUUCGAAGCAGAAGACGCGUUUGGACGUUUGGAGCGCAGACGUCGGAGCAGGGUCCACGGAGGAAGCUGCGCACCAAGGCGGUGGCGUCUCCGUCACCUCGGAAUUAAGGCGAAUUGACCCGCAUUAAGAGACCCAAUUGAGCAAGUCUCCCGCAGAAUAGGGCUGAAAGGAAGAUACAAACGAACGCAAGGGGGACGUUUACCCAGCACUUCUGCGAAGCCAGGCACUUUCUCACCUUUAAACUUGACAGCCACACUUUAAGACGGACCUAUUUGCCCCCACUUUACAGUUGAAUGAAAUGAGGAUGGGAGGUGACAAGUGACAUCUCAACUGAUAAGUAGGGUACAAAGACCCCUACUGAUGUCCCACUUCUAAGGCAACACAAUGGUGAGCAACUUAAGGCCUUAACACAGAAAAAGUUCAGUGGGACUCUUUCCGGCCCUUUUUUUUCGGCUUCUCGAUUUAGUUGAGGGAGAAAGAUAACAUGUGCUCCUCCGAAGCGACCCUCGCUCCCCACCCCCCACCCGCGUCUUUUCCUAAUGGUCCCAGCAC
ensembl:lncRNA